rnacentral:lncRNA from 1 species
CCACUUGUCAUCAUCUCAAUAUGACAAAUGUAAGGUUGAGAUGCUAUAGUAGUAGAUAAGAUGGUUGUAAGUUGUUAGAUGAUAGCUUACAAAGGAAGCUAAGUAGUUUACAUAUAAGGAAGUCGGUUGUAAUUGGGAGGGGGUCAUUGGAAUAAUCUCUGUUUAAUACAAGAAAGUACUACGCAAUUGUCAAGAAGCCGAGCAAGGUUUUAACAUUGGUAUUAGCCAGUGUCGAUUCCUCUCAAUCUUUCAUUGUUGUAUGCCCCGCCGACCCUGGAACACCAUGGAAUCGCGAGUGUCAACUUUGGAAACCAUGCUCGCCAAUCUCAAAGCUAAGCUCAAGAACAACCAAGAGAUGAUCAUGAUGCAGCUGCAAUCUAUGGCAGCCAAAGGCGGUUCUUGCAGCGGCGAAUCGUCCGAGGCAACACCGCUGAAUCCUCAGAUACAGGGCGAAGUACAAUGUGGUAGCCACGAUUUGGGUCUUCAAAAUUGCUGGGCAUUUCUGAAAAUGGACUUUCCAAGGUUCAUGGAAGGUGAUGAUCCUUUGGGUUGGGUCUAUAAAGGCGACCAUUAUUUCGAUUUCUACCACAUCGAAGAUGCUAAGAAGGUGAAAAUGGCUUCAUUCCACAUGGAAGGGGAAGCUCUUCAAUGGUUCCAGUGGGCCAAUUGUCUAACCAAUUAUCCUAAUUGGGAGGAUUUCACCAAGGUUUUUUGUCAAGAAUUUGGACCUUCCGAAUUCGAGGACUCUGCUGAAAGUUUGGUCAAGUUACGGCAAACUGGGACACUCCGAGAUUACUUGUUGGAAUUUUGACAUUUAUCGAAUCGUACCAAAGAUAUCAGCCUUGCUUUGUUGAAAUCUUGUUUCAUUGGGGGUCUUAGGCCGGAAUUGCAACUUGAUGUGAAGCUCUUCAAACCUAAGGAUGUGCUGGAAGUUGCUGCAUUAUCUCAGCAGAUCGAUGCCAAGCUUACAGAUCUCAAGGUGAAAACUUUCUAUAAAUCACCUACAAUUCAACCCAAUUUUAGAUCACCAGUUUUGCAGAAUGUUAGUAACCAAACAUUGGCUGAUAUUCGUACUAAAACUCCUAAUGUACGAUGAUUGACCCCAGAAGAAGUGGAUUAUUGUUGAAAUAAUGGAUUGUGUUUUCACUGUAAGGAGAAAUAUGUGAGGGGCCAUACUUGUGAAAAGAAACAGUUGCAUCUUCUUGAUGUUCAAGACUGUGAGAUGGGUGAUGAGUGUGCUGAGGAAGUAGAGAAUGAGGAACCAGAGAUAACUGUUUGUGCUAUUUUUGGCAUCCCAGCUCCACCUAUAAUUAAUACUAUGAAGGUCAAUGGAUUUGUUAAAAACUGUCCAGUCACUAUACUCAUUGAUUCUAGUAGUUCUCAUAACCUUGUUGAUUUGGGAUUAGUUAAAAGACUCAGGGGGUAUCUUGAUACUGCAUAUCUUUUCAAUGUUAAACUGCAAAUGGGGGACGAGUUGCUACGAAAGGAACAUUAGCUCCUACUGUGAAAAUUUAGGAUUUCAGUUGUAUAACUGAUCUCUAUGCCAUUCCUUUAGGGGGUUGUGAAAUUGUAUUGGGGGUACAAUGGCUUCGAACCCUUGGCCCCAUUCUCUGGGAUUUCGAUAAACUUUACAUGAAAUUCUUAAAUGGGUCUCUCAUACAUAUUGUAUUACAAGUCCAGGAUCUUCCUUACAUCAGCUUGAAGACAUAUCAGCAUUGCAGAUGCAAAAACUUUUGCAGUAGGAAAACACAAUAGGAGCAGUUCUUUAUCAAAUGGGACCUACUACUAUGCAAUGUUAUUCUCCGGAGCAAACAUUGGGGGAUCUAAGUUCUCAACAUCUCACUAAGCUGCAACAACAAGACUUAAAGUCCCUUUUGGGGGAAUAUGAGAUAUUGUUUGCAACCCCUAAUACCUUACCUCCUAAUAGGUUGCAUGAUCAUAGAAUUCCCUUGAUAGCAGGAAGAAGUAAACCUCCAAAUACGCCUUUAUAGAUAUGGUCCAGUGCAAAAAUCAGAGUUUGAAAAAUGUGUUCAGGAGUUUUUACAAGCUGGUUUUAUUAGGGAAAGUAAUAGCCCUUAUUCAUCUCUAGUAAUGUUAGUGAGGAAGAAAGAAGGGACAUGGAGGAUGUGUAUGGAUUAUAGGGGUCUGAAUGGCAUCACUAUCAAAGACAAAUUUCCAAUUCCUUUGAUUGAUGAACUUCUGGAUGAAUAGUUUGGUGUUCAAUUAUUUCUAGAUUUAAGAGCUGGUUAUCAUCAAAUUAGGAUGUAUCAUAAUGAUAUAGAGAAUACAGCUUUUAGAACACAUGAUGGCCAUUAUGAAUUUUUGGUCAUGCUAUUUGGUUUAACGAAUGCUCCUGCCACAUUUCAGUGUUUGAUGAAUGAAAUUUUCUGACCAUUUUUGAAAAAGUUCAUCUUGGUGUUUUUUGAUGACAUUUUGGUAUAUAGUGCUACUUGGGAAUUGCCCCUGCAACACUUGAGGGUAGUAUUUGAUCUGUUGAAAGCUCACAGUUUGUUUGUUAAGAAAUCGAAAUGUGCCUAUGGGAGGGAUAAAGUUGAAUAUUUGGGACAUAUUGUGUCCAAAGAUAGGGUAGUUGCCGACCCUACCAAGUUGGAUUCAAUUGCUAACUGGCCUAUCCCUACUACAGAAAGUUUAUUCCCCAUUUUGGCAAAAUUAUAGGUACCUUGAUUGCCUUGACCAAGAAGGACAGUUUUAUUUGGUCUGAGGAAGCUACACAGGCCUUUAACACUCUUAAAGUAGCCAUGCUUUCCCCUCAAGUUUUAGCUCUACCUAAUUUCAGUAAGCCCUUCAUUAUUGAGAGUGGUGCAUCUGGACAUGGCAUUGGAGCAAUAUUACAACAAGAAGGCAGGCCCAUUGCUUUUACAAGCAAAGCCCUUAGCCCCAGAAAUCAAACUAUGUCAGCAUAUGAACGGGAAAUGUUGGCAAUCAUUCAUGCAAUUCACAAAUGGCAGUCUUAUUUGGUGGGGAACCAUUUUAUAAUUCUCACACAUCAUCACAGCUUGAAAUAUUUCUUACAAGGAAGAGCUCACACACCUUUUAAGCAAAAAUGGGUGUCUAAACUCAUGGGCUUCGAUUAUGAAAUUCAAUAUAAGCAAGGCUGUGACAACCAAGCUGCUGAUGCAUUAUCAUGUAGUCCUUUAACUACUGAUCUAACUAUUGAGUUCCGGUGUGAUUCCAUUGUUUGUGCAGCUAUUUCCUACCCUUAUUCAACAUGGAUUGAUGACCUUAUGAGACAUGUUGAAAAAGACACUUGGGUGAUUGAAAAAACACAGAAAGUUCUUAGUGAUACCUCAGAUGGGGGACCACUUGGCAAUCUCAGGUUUCAAGUGGAUAAUGGGUUUCUUAAGUACAAUGGUCAAAUUGUACUCAGCCCUUGUAGUUCAUGGAAAUAAAAAAUCUUUGAGGAACAUCAUGCAACCCCACCUGAAGGCCAUGAAGGUUUUCUUAAAACCUAUGAAAGAAUCUCACGAUCAUUCUAUUGGGAAGGAAUGAAGAAAGACAUCAAAAAGUUAGUAGCAUCUUGUAGUGUCUGCCAACAACAUAAGUAUGAAACCUUAUCUCCGGCUGGUUUCCUUCAGCCAUUACCUAUUCCAUCCAAAGUAUGGUCUGAUAUCUCCAUGGAUUUCAUUGUGGGGCUUCCUUCUUGCAAAGGGAAAACAAUGAUCUGGGUUGUAGUAGAUCAGCUAUCCAAGUAUGCUCAUUUCCUAGCUCUAUCUCAUCCUUUCACAGCAUCCAUGAUUGCACAACUUUUCAUUGAUAACAUUUUUAAGUUGCAUGGUAUGCCCAGUUCUAACUCCGCCUAUGUCUUACAUGGCCGGUCCCAAGCCCGGAUAAAGGAGGAGGGGGAGGGCGUCAGGUAGUCGACAGCCGGCACUCCAUGAUCACGUCGAAUCCUUAUGAAAAUGAAUCCAGAACAAAAUCGCGCUAAAGCUAGGGCGUCACCCGUAAGUGGCGCGCUGUGUGGCCUGAGCACAGUGAUAAGUGAGCAAGGGUCGCUGUAUCUCCAUCGGCACCCGGAUGCAGUGUUAAAUGAGCAAGGGGGCCAUAGAAACUUCUUUUCGAACGACUCCACUCAAAGUUGUUUGGGAGCAUAUGCUCCUAUCAACUUUACCCGGGACACACAAAAAGAAGUACUUUGAUCCUAUUAGACGGGGGAGGGUGAAAGAAGCUAGGACAGAAGGGUAGAGUUCAAGAGAGCAAAAUGCGUUUAGGAACGUGGAAUAUAGGAACCUUAACGGGAAAAUCUAUGGAAGUAGUGGAAGUUAUGGUGAGGAGAAGGAUAAAUAUUAUGUGCCUACAAGAAACUAAGUGGGUUGGUAGUAAGGCAAAGGAUCUAGAAAACUCAGGGUUUAAACUUUGGUAUUCGGGCACAAAUAGAACGAGAAACGGUGUUGGCAUCAUCGUGGACAAGACCUUGGUACAAGAUGUUGUAGAUGUCAAGAGGGUAGGAGAUAGAAUCAUGGCAAUCAAGAUUGUAAUAGGACAAGAACUUAUCAAUGUGAUUAGUGCGUACGCACCUCAAGUAGGGUUGGAUACGAGUUCGAAGGAGAAAUUUUGGGAAGAUCUUGGAGACUUGGUGCAAGGAAUUGCUCAGACGGAGAAGUUAUUAUAUAGGAGGAGAUUUAAAUGGACACGUGGGCAGGGAGACAGGCAACUAUGGAGGUUUUCAUGGUGGCCAUGGUUUUGGGGAGAGAAACGAGGAUGGGGAAGCUAUCUUGGAUUUUGCAAUGGCAUAUGAUCUCUUCUUAGCCAACACCUUCUUUAAGAAGAGAGAAGAACAUGUGAUCACCUACAAGAGUGGGUCGUCAAAAACACAAAUAGAUUUUCUUCUAAUGAGGAAAGGGGAUCGUAUAACUUGUAAGGAUUGCAAAGUUAUACCAGGAGAGAGCGUGGCUAAUCAACAUCGCUUGUUGGUGAUGGAUGUACAUAUCAAAAGAGUAAGACAAAAGAACAAGACUUGGAAGUGCCCAAGGACUAGAUGGUGGAAUCUAAAAAGAAGAAAAACAAGCCAUUUUCAAAGAGAAGGUAAUCACCCAAUGUGUGUGGGAUAGAGAGGGGGAAGCUAGCCAAAUGUGGGAUUCCAUGUUGGAAUAAGAGCUAGUUGCAUCCGAAAGAGGUAGCAAAAGAGGUAUUAGGAGAGUCCAAGGGCUUUGCCCCACACCAAAAGGAAUCUUGGUGGUGGAAUGAGGAGGUACAAACAAAGGUGAAGGCUAAGAAGGAAUGUUGUAAAGCCUUAUACAAGGAGAGGACUGAUGAAAAUGGUGAAAGGUAUAGAAAAGCGAAGCAAGAGGCGAAGAAAGCUGUCAGAGAAGCUAAGUUAGCGGCUUACGACGAUAUGUAUAAACGACUAGAUACCAAAGAAGGAGAGUUGGAUAUCUAUAUAAACUAUCUAGAGCAAGGGAAAAGAAGACAAGGGACCUAAACCAAGUGAGGUGCAUCAAGGAUGAGGAUGAGGAUGGAAAGGUUCUUGCUACAGAGAACGCGGUUAAAGACAGAUGGAGAGGUUAUUUUCAUAAUCUUUUCAAUGAUGAAGGACAUGAAAUGAGUGCUUCUUUAGGGGAGUUGAGUAACUCAGAAGAGUGUAGAAACUACUCUUUUUAUCGUCGAAUCCGGAAGGAAGAAGUGGUUGUAGCUUUGAAGAAGAUGAAGCAUAAAAAAGCAAUAGGCCCAGACGAUAUACCAAUCGAAGUGUGGAAACUUUUGGGAGAGACAGGUAUAACAUGGCUCACUGACCUUUUCAAUAGGAUUUUGAAAACGAAGAAGAUGCCAAAUGAGUGGCGAAUGAGCACUUUGGUGCCUAUCUACAAGAAUAAGGGCGACGUACAAAAUUGCAUGAACUAUAUAGGGGUAUUAAGCUAAUGAGUCAUCAUACAAUGAAGCUCUGGGAGAGAGUCAUUGAGCAUAGAUUGAGGCAAGAGACACGGUUUCGGACAACCAAUUUCGGGUUCAUGCCAGGGCGCUCAACCAUGGAGGCAAUCUAUCUCUUACGAAGAUUGAUGGAAAGAUAUAGAGAUGGGAAAAAGGAUUUACACAUGGUCUUUAUAGAUUUGGAAAAAGCGUAUGAUAGGGUCCCAAGAGACAUUCUUUGGAGGAUUUUAGAGAAGAAAGGAGUACGAGUAGCAUAUAUCCAAGCUAUAAAGGAUAUGUAUGAAGGAGCAAAGACUGCCGUAAGAACUCAUGAAGGACAAACCGAAAGCUUUCCCAUAACUGUAGGAUUACAUCAAGGCUCAUCCUUAAGUCCUUACCUUUUUGCGUUGGUAAUGGAUGAGUUAACAGGACAUAUUCAAGAUGAUAUUCCUUGGUGUAUGCUUUUCGCAGACGAUAUAGUGUUGAUAGAUGAAACUCAGGAAGGGGUAAAUGCAAAGCUUAACCUUUGGAGAGAAGUGUUGGAAUCUAAAGGUCUUCGCCUAAGCCGAUCAAAGACAGAAUAUAUGGAGUGCAAGUUCAGUGCAAAUGGAGGCCAAAACGAGUUAGGGGUGAGGAUCGGAGAUCAAGAAAUACCAAAGAGCGACCGUUUUCGUUACCUAGGAUCUAUCUUGCAAAAGAACGGAGAAUUAGAUGGAGAUCUCAACCAUAGAAUACAAGCUGGAUGGAUGAAGUGGAAGAGUGCAUCCGGCGUGUUGUUGUGUGACCGCCGUAUGCCACUGAAGCUCAAGGGAAAAUUUUAUAGGACGGCAAUAAGGCCGGCGAUGCUGUAUGGCACAGAAUGUUGGGCGGUGAAACAUCAACACGUACACAAAAUGGGUGUAGCGGAGAUGAGGAUGCUUCGUUGGAUGUGUGGGCACACGAGAAAGGAUAAGAUUAGGAAUGAGGAUAUCCGGGGUAAAGUAGGAGUAGCCGAAAUUGAAGGAAAGAUGAGAGAAAAUCGGUUACGGUGGUUUGGACAUGUGCAAAGAAGGCCUACUGACGCUCCGAUUAGAAGAUGCGACUAUGGGACAGAGGUUCAGGGCCGAAGGGGUAGAGGAAGACCUAGGAAAACUUUGGAAGAGACUCUAAGAAAAGACUUAGAGUACUUGGAUCUAACGAAGGACAUGACACAGGAUCGAGCACAAUGGCGUUCUAAGAUUCAUAUAGCCGAUCCCACUCAGUGACUUGGAUUUUCCAAGUCUCCAACCGAGAAGUUUUCCUCACUCGGGAAAUUAAGGGAACACUACCCCAACCUACAUGCUCCACUCAGAAAGCUUCAACAUACAAGCUUCAACAAAAGAAAAUUCAAAGAACUUAGCGAAGAAGGCUUUGGUGUAUUUAACACAAUACGUUGAAAUGAAGGAAAGCUUAUUUAUUGAUAUCCCCGAUAAGCUACAAAUAUGUACAUAUACAUGAGUCAAAAUAAACAACACAAGAGGGAGCCUUCACAAAGGUUGCUUAGGAGAAGUCUCAGCAGUCGGUAGAGCCCCAGAAAGAGAAGGCACCGGAGGGGGAUCAUUUGGAGCCUCAGUACUGGACAGAACCCUAGAAGGAGGAGGCAUCAGAGGUUGAUCAUUUGGAGCUUCAUUACGCGGUACAGCCCCAGAAGACGAAGGCAAUAAAUGCCUUUGGAACAAACCCACAAAUCUCUGAUGAUCAAGUAAAACCUGACCAUCAGUUUCCUUCAUCUGGUCAAGCUUCCUCUUCAUGUUUGUAGCAUAGUCAUGUGCGAGCCGGUGCAACUGUUUAUUCUCAUGCUUGAGCCCUCUAAUCUCCUGUUUGAGACUCAUCACUUCAGCCGCCAAUGAUUCAACUUGGCGGGUUCGAGCAAAUAGGCGUUGGGCCAUAUUAGACACAGAACCUGCACACUGAACACUGAGAGCCAGCGAAUCCUUAACAGCUAACUCAUCAGACCGUUUGGAAAGUAGUCUGUUAUCUUUGGGAGUGAGAAGGUUCCUGGCCACCACCGCAGCGGUCAUAUCAUUCUUCAUCACGGAAUCCCCAACGGUAAGAGGACCAGUAGGGGAGACGAAGGAUGGGCGCCAUAUGUUGUCUGGAGAAGGCGGGGCUGCCUCUUCAACAAGGUUCAAGUCAAAACGACGGUCGGAGGGGCCAGACAUUUUCAAAGGUGUUGAAGAGAGAAGAGGUCGGACAAAUCAAGAUCUUAGAAGUGCAAGAAUGAAGCUUCUACUGGUGGAGAUUCAAGUGUGCUUUGGAACUUAAUGCCAGCCCCUAUAAAAAUCUGCACUCGACGGAAGCUUCAGAAAUCGAAGAGGCGCCUGCUCAGAAAUCGAAGAGGCGUUUGCUUUCUCAAAAGCUGGGCUGCUUAGAGAUCACGAGGGUUGAUCUCAGAAAUCGAAGAGGCGUUUGCUUUCUCAAAAGUUGGGCUGCUCAAAGACCACGAAGGCCGAUCUCAGAAAUCGAAGAGGCGCUCGCUUUCUCAAAAGCUGGGCUCCCCAGAGACCACGAGGGCCGAUCUCAGAAAUCGAAGAGGCACCUACUUUUCCAGCCUUUUCCAGCCUUGUCAGCACCUGUCACACGCACACUCAGCUUUGCGGAAAUUAUGGGCAUUCUGUCGAAGACUUCUGGGGAAGUAGAAAACACAUGAAUCUUACUGUUCAAUCACCCACUUCCCACACGCAACAAUAGCUCAUGGGUACCACAGAUAACUUUGCCAAAGUUCUCUGCCAAAGUUGAGCACGUGAAGCUUGCAGCUCCCACUACAUCGCUCUGACCAAGAAGGGUAAAAGAAUAGCAAAGAAACAGCACUAACAAAGUUUAGACCCAUAAAUUUUGAAGGUCUAGCUACCAUAUUAUUACCCACAAGGGUAAAGGAACAGUACCACUGCUGGAUAAUUGGAAAGUCCCUGUGUGUCAACCUCUGUGCUUCGUGGCAAGGUAGACUAGCAAACAUGCCCAACCUUUACUCACAUUCGAGAAAACACUCCCAAUAAGAUUGCUUGCUCCAAAAUCGAAGAGGCACCGUCCUCCGAAUCUCGAGAGCCAGACUCCCAACAUGACUACUUUCUUAAAAAUCGAAGAGAGGGUAAAGGAACAGUACCAUUGCUGGAUAAUUGGAAAGUCCCUGUGUGUCAACCUCUGUGCUUCGUGGCAAGGUAGACUAGCAAACAUGCCCAACCUUUACUCACAUUCGAGAAAACACUCCCAACAAGAUUGCUUGCUCCAAAAUCGAAGAGGCACCGCCCUCCGAAUCUCGAGAGCCAGACUCCCAACAUGAUUACUUUCUCAAAAAUCGAAGAGACACUGCUCCCCGAAUCUCGAGAGCCAGACCCCCAGCAUGAUUGCUUUCUCAAAAAUCGAUGAGGCAUCGUUCUCCGAAUCAAUCGAAGAGGCGCUCGCUUUCUCAAAAGCUGGGCUGCUCAGAGACCACGAGGGCCGAUCUCAGAAAUCGAAGAGGCACCUACUUUUCUAGCCUUGUCAGCACCUGUCACACGCACACUCAGCUUUGCAGAAAUUAUGGGCAUUCUGUCGAAGACUUCUGGUGAAGUAGAAAGCACAUGAAUCUUACUGUUCAAUCACCCACUUCCCACACGCAACAAUAGCUCAUGGGUACCACAGAUAACUUUGCCAAAGUUCUCUGCCAAAGUUGAGCACGUGAAGCUUGCAGCUCCCACUACAUCGCUCUGACCAAGAAAGGUAAAAGAAUAGCAAAGAAACAGCACUAACAAAAGUUUAGACACAUAAAUUUUGAAGGUCUAGCUACCAUAUUAUUACCCACAAGGGUAAAGGAACAGUACCACUGCUGGAUAAUUGGAAAGUCCCUGUGUGUCAACCUCUGUGCUUCGUGGCAAGGUAGACUAGCAAACAUGCCCAACCUUUACUCACAUUCGAGAAAACACUCCCAACAAGAUUGCUUGCUCCAAAAUCGAAGAGGCACCGUCCUCCGAAUCUCGAGAGCCAGACUCCCAACAUGACUACUUUCUCAAAAUCGAAGAGAGGGUAAAGGAACAGUACCAUUGCUGGAUAAUUGGAAAGUCCCUGUGUGUCAACCUUUGUGCUUCGUGGCAAGGUAGACUAGCAAACAUGCCCAACCUUUACUCACAUUCGAGACAACACUCCCAACAAGAUUGCUUGCUCCAAAAUCGAAGAGGCACCGCCCUCCGAAUCUCGAGAGCCAGACUCCCAACAUGAUUACUUCCUCAAAAAUCGAAGAGACACUGCUCUCCGAAUCUCGAGAGCCAGACCCCCAGCAUGAUUGCUUUCUCAAAAAUCGAAGAGGCAUCGUUCUCCGAAUCUCGAGAGCCAGAUACCACAGACCACUUUUUCAAAGUGCUCUGACAGAGUUAAAACAUGUGAAACUGGCAGCUCCCACUACCGUGCUAUGACCAAGCAGGGUAAAGGAAUAGCAUUACUACUUGUUGUUAGGGAGACUCCUAUAUAUGUCGACCUCCAUCCCCAACGGACAGGCAGACCUGCAAAAAUGCUCAACCCUUCAUCAUAUCUGAGAGGGCACUCCCAACGAAGCCUUUCGAAAUAUUCAGCUUUCUUUCCCCCCGAUAAUACCUCUGCAAACAAGCUAUACUAGAGCAAGAAUAUCUCAUAUCAUCAGGGUUAAAAGCAAGAGUAUCCCAUAUCAUGCUUUUUUCCCUGUCUUUUCCUUUGGCCUUGUUUUUACCUGCAAGACAAGGAGAAAGAGAGCAAUCAGUCAGCACUUGGAAUCAAGCUUCCAGCCAGGAACUGACUGCCUGGAACCCCUUACCUGAUUACUUACCUGGCAUUGCUCUCGAGUACUCAUCUUCAACAUCUUAUGUUUCCAGGGAAGAUUCCGCAUCUGCUUGAGGAACAGAUAGGGCAAGUGCGAAGGAUACAAGGAAGCAUGUGGAGACAAGCGUAACAGCACACGUGCCGAUACAUCCAUUACUCUGUCAAAAGCAAAAGUAUCCCAUAUCAGCAGGGUGGAACGUACUCUAGAUUUGAUGGACUUGUUUUGACCCUCAAAUUCUUCAGUCGGCCUUAUACUCUGGAGGAAACCAGAAAACCCUCCAGCUCAGUUCAAGAAUAAGCCUGUGGAAAGUUACUUCUUCAAAAGCAAAAGUAUCUCAUAUCAUCUCUUCUCAUUUUUCUUCUCUUUAUCCUUCAUGCUGCUGCAAGAUGGGGAGAAGGUGAACAAUCAGUCGGAGCUCUGAUUGCUUACCUUGUCUGUCACCUCUUUCAGCAGACCCCCUAGCUCGGCGACUUGGGGGACUCCUACUACAUGGUUUGUAUCGCGCUUGACCAAGCCUGAAACUACAAGUAAGCUUCAAGUGAAAUUGAUACAUUACCUUGUGCAUCUCCACCAGUUAAAGAUACCACCCCUGGAUGGAGGAAGAGUACUUCCAGAGAAGAUGCCACAUCUACCUAUGAGACAGAUAAGGCAAGUCAAGACGAUACCACACUCCGAUACUUAGAAGUUUCGUGAUUACGAGAUCAUUCUCCCACAAUAUUUCCUAAUGUCAUUUGUACUAAAUCAUUCACUUGUACUCACUAAAGGAGAGCUUGAACCUAUGUACUUGUGUAAACCCUUCACAAUUAAUGAGAACUCUUCUAUUCCGUGGACGUAGCCAAUCUGGGUGAACCACGUACAUCUUGUGUUUGCUUUCCUAUCUCUAUCCAUUUAUAUACUUAUCCACACUAAUGACCGGAGCAAUCUAGCGAAGAUCACAAAAAGCGACCGUUUUCGCUACCUAGGAUCUAUCUUGCAAGAGAACGGAGAAUUAGAUGGAGAUCUCAACCAUAGAAUACGAGCUGGAUGGAAAGAGUGCAUCCGGCGUGUUGUGUGACCGUCGUAGGCCACUGAAGCUCAAGGGAAAAUUUUAUAGGACGGCAAUAAGGCCAGCGAUGUUGUAUGGCACAGAAUGUUGGGCGGUGAAGCAUCAACACGUACACAAAAUGGGUGUAGCGGAGAUGAGGGAUGCUUCGUGGGAUGUGUGGGCACACGAGAAAGGAUAAGAUUGAGAAUGAGGAUAUCCGAGGUAAAGUAGGAGUAGCCGAAAUUGUAGGAAAUAUGAGAGAAAAUCGGCUCCGGUGAUUUUGAACAUGUGCAAAGAAGGCCGACUGACGCUCCGGUUCGAAGAUGUGACUACGGGACAGAGGUUCAGGGCCGAAGGGGUAGAGGAAGACCUAGGACAACUUUGGAAGAGACUCUAAGAAAAGACUUAGAGUACUUGGAUCUAAAGGAGGACAUGACACAAAACCGAGCGCAAUGGCGUUCUAGGAUUCAUAUAGCCGACCCCACUUAGUGGGAAAAGGCUUUGUUGUUGUUGUUGUUGUUGUAUGGUAUGCCCAGUUCUAUCAUCAGUGAUAGAGAUCCCAUUUUUAUGAGUAAAUUCUGGAAAACGUUUUUUGCACUAUAAGGGUCAGCUCUUUGCUUUAGCUCAAGGUAUCACCCUCAAACCGAUGGUCAAACAGAAGUGUUGAACAGGUGUCUUGAAACAUAUCUCUGGUGUUUUUGCAGUUUGCAGCCUAAAAAAUAGCUACAUUGGUUGUCUUGGGCAUAAUGGAGUUUCAACACUAGUUAUCACAUUGCCACCAAAUUAACACCUUAUGAGAUAGUGUAUGGUCAGGCUCCUCCAGUGGUUCCUUCUUAUGGAAAUGGCACUACAAAGGUAGCGUCAGUGGAUCAAUGCUUGCAGGAAAAAAACAUGAUGUUAUCUAUUCUCAAAGCUUAUUUGAUAGCAGCUCAAUGUAGAAUGAAGGUCCAGUUUGACAAGAAACGAACUGAAAGGCAGUUUAAGGUUGGUGAUUUUGUAUAUUUGAGGUUGGUGCCUUAUCAGUACAUGUCCUUAGCUUCUCACUCCUUUAGCAAAUUACAACUAGGGAUGGGCAAAUACCCAUUGGUUACGGGUAACCACGGUUACCCGUCUAUUUAAAUUAAACGGUUACUGUUAUGGGUAACCGUUUAGAUAAAUAAACGGUUAUGAGUAUAACCGUUUACCCGCGAAAUUUAAGUGGGUGGUUAUGGAUAUUAACCACGGUUAUAAACGGGUAACCAUUUACCCAUUUAUUUUAUAUAUGUAAAACUAACACAAACCAUGUUCUCGAUUCAAUAAUACUUAGCACCCAAUAAAUUAGCAAGGAAUUCAUCGGCCAUUCUCUCAAUAACACUACUACAGGAAUGAUGAUUCUCAUCAUUAAGGAAUUGGCCAAAUUAAUUUAAAUUCCUUGCGGGUAACCGUGAAAUUGACAGAAAUGCUUUGACAGAAAUGUCUUCUAAACAAUUUUUGUAACCCAAUAAUACUUGGCAAAUAUUAUAUUUACCUUCAUCGAUAACAGUUAAAAAUAUCGUCUGUAAAUUAUUGUUUAAAUUAUUGGAAUGAUAUAAGGAUUCAAAAAAUUAAAAUAUGGAAAUGUAUGAUGAAUGCACCGUGUUUAAUUGUCAAAAAAAAAAUUAUGAUAAUUUUUUUUAUUAUUUUCAAGUUGUUAAAAAACAUGUAGACUGGUGAAAAAAAAGGUAAUGGUUAAAAAAAAAAGAUAAACAGGUUAAAAAAGAUAAAUGGGUAAACAGGUAUUAAACGGUUACGGUUAAAUCUGUAUACGGUUAUGGAUAUGAGUAUAACAGUUUAGGCAAUUACCCAACGGAUAAAUGGUUAUACGGGUAUGAAUAUAAAUGGUUAUGGGUAAAUUAACCGCAGUUACCCGCCCCCAUAACAUUACCCAUCUCUAAUUACAACCUCGUUUUUAUGGACCCUUUGAGGUGAUAGCUAAAGUGGGACAUGUGGCUUAUAAACUGAAGCUUCCUGACAGUUCCAAACUGCAUCCAGUUUUCCAUGUUUCUUGUCUCAAAAAGCAUUUGGGUUCUCAGCAUAGCCCUACCACGCCACUUCCAAUCAUUACUGAGAAAGGAAUAUUACAGGACAUUCCAAUUGCCAUUCUAGACAGAAGGUUGGUGAAGAAGGGAAAUGCUGCAAUUACGGAAGUCUUCGUCCAAUGGCAGAAUCAUACUCCAGAAGACGCUACCUGGGAACCAUAUCCUGACUUGAAAUCGAAGUUUCCAGAAGUUGCUAAUCUCUAAGUCCUGUUCGAUGUACUGUUCAAUUUUUUUCCAGCUGCUUUGGAUUCACAUUUUACUGUUUUCUGCUGUAAUAAGUCAGUUUUCAAGGGGGGUAUUAUCAGGAUGCCACUUGUCAUCAUCUCAAUAGGACAAAUGUAAGGUUGAGAUGCUAUAAUAGUAGAUAAGAUGGUUGUAAGUUGUUAGAUGAUAGCUUACAGAGGAAGCUAAGUAGUUUACAUAUAAGAAAGUCGGUUGUAAUUGGGAGGAGGUCAUUGGAAUAAUCUCUGUGUAAUACAAGAAAGUACCAUGCAAUUGUGAAGAAGCCGAGCAAGGUUUUAA